GUGAUUAUAUGUUAGGGAUUCUACUGGUCUGCAUUGAUUUUGAAAAGACAAUUGUUUAUUGUAUAGAGUAUUAGAGGUUCGUAUUUACUAGGUUGUGGAGUUAUCAAUGUCUAAUAUCACAUUAGAUUGAUGUUUCUUAUUUACUUGUCAAACUUUGCCUGAGUUGCGCUGCUAUGAAAGUUUUACUUAAAAAUUGAAGGUUAGAUCAUGUGUAUAGAAGAGAAUGACCAAAUGAACAUUGAAAGGUGGCAUGCAGGUUGGUUCUCUCAUAGACAGAAACAAGGGAGGUUCAUACCAUUGUUUAAAUAGGUAAUUGAAAUAUCUAUGUCUUUGGGGUUAAGUGAGAGUAAGAAUUAUGUUCUGCUGCUGCAAAAUCCAACUGCCCAAGUGAGAUGGGAGAGCUUUUGAUCACCGCAAGUGUUUGUGAAUAGAAUCAUACUGAUGUAGGACUGAGAGAUUCAGAAAUCUUCCUGGUAAUGCUUUAUGGUGGGCAAAAAUCUCU
rnacentral:misc_RNA from 1 species